GAUCCUGGCUCAGAACGAACGCUAGCGGCGUGGAUUAGGUAUGCAAGUCGAACGGGAACUUUGCGGAUGAUCCUUCGGGUGAAACUGCUUAGGAAACGUGGCGAAAGGGUGAGUAACGGAUAGACAAUCUACCCUCAACACCGGGAUAAUCCAUCGAAAGGUGAAGUAAUACCGGAUGGUAUACUGUUUCUACGGAGACAGUAUUAAAGGGGGCUUCGGCUUCCGGUUGAGGAGGAGUCUAUUUCCUAUUAGCUUGUUGGUGCGGUAACGGCGCACCAAGGCUGUGAUGGGUAGGGGGCCUUAGCGGGUGGCCCUCCACACUGGGACUGAGACACUGCCCAGGUUCCUACGGGAGGCUGCAAUCGAGAAUCCUCCGCAAUGGGCGAAAGCCUGACGGGGUGACGCCGCGUGACCGAUGAAGGCUCUUACGGGUCGUAAAGGUCUUACAGGGAGUAUGAAAUAUACUGGGGCUAAUAUCUCCAGUAUUUGACGUCAAUCUCAAAUGAAGUCACGGCUAAAUUUGUGCCAGCAGCCGCGGUAAGACAAAUGUGGCAAGCGUUGUUCGGAAUCACUGGGCAUAAAGGGCACGUAGGCGGCGUAGUAAGUUAACUGUGAAAUCCCCCGGCUCAACCGGGGAACUGCAGUUAAUACUGCUGUGCUAGAGUGCAGAAGAGGAGAGUGGAAUUCUAGGUGUAGCGGUGGAAUGCGAAGAUAUCUAGGAGAAGGCCGGUGGCGAAAGCGACUCUCUGGUCUGUUACUGACGCUGAGGUGCGAGAGCGCAGGUAGCGAACGGGAUUAGAUACCCCGGUAGUCUGUGCCGUAAACGAUGGGCACUAGAUGGUGGAGGCGCCGAUAGCUUUCUCCGUCGCAGCUAAUACGUUAAGUGCCCCGCCUGGGGAGUAUGGCUGCAAGGUUAAAACUCAAAGGAAUUGACGGGGGCCCACACAAGCGGUGGAGGAUGUUGGCUUAAUUCGAGGAUACCCGUAAAACCUUACCGAGGCUUGACAUGNCAAGGUGGUUUAAGUGAAGUUGGAAAGCGGGAACGACCCGAAUAGGGAGCACUGCACAAGGUGCUGCAUGCUGUCGACAGCUCGUGUCGUGAGAUGUUAGUUAAGUCUGUAACGAGCGAAACCUUGUGCUUAAUUGCCAGCGCGUUAUGGCGGGGACCUUAAGCAGACUGCC
rnacentral:rRNA from 1 species